rnacentral:rRNA from 1 species
UACGUAGGGUGCAAGCGUUAAUCGGAAUGACUGGGCGUAAAGGGCGCGUAGGCGGCUUGUUUAGUCAGGCGUGAAAUUCCUGGGCUUAACCUGGGGGCUGCGCUUGAUACAGGCAGGCUUGAGUGCGGAAGAGGGUCGUGGAAUUCCCAGUGUAGAGGUGAAAUUCGUAGAUAUUCGCAAGAACACCAGUGGCGAAGGCGGCUCACUGGCCCGGUACUGACGCUGAGGUGCGAAAGCGUGGGGAGCAAACAGG